GUGCGGUCACAAAAAAUUCCGUUUUUUGAACGUUGGCUAUGCCAACGGCCCCGAAGGGGUGAAUAAAUCACUUCAGUGAUUUAUGAAUAUUUUUACAAAUGUUUU
rfam:Aggregatibacter actinomycetemcomitans D11S-1, complete genome.